AGCUAAGGAUCUUUCAUUUCUUUCUGCCUCUCUCCUUUGCCUUCCUUCAACACCAAGGACAAUGGUCCAGCAGCAGCUCAGUGCAUGCUUGUCAACCACCCCACUCCAUACACUCCAGCCCUGGUCCACAGCCCCCAAGGCUCCUUGUGGGAUUCCUCAGCAACAGCAAUGCACUGACCAUCACUCUAUGUUCUCCUAGGUCCUGUUGAAGAUCUGCAGGUGUCUGCACAUGACGGCGUGGAGGAUAUGAAAUCAGAACGUAGAAGGCGGAUCGUCCAGACUCAACUCUGUUUGCCUAUGGGUUCCAAGCGCUGGAUAACAAAGCUAUGGAACUCCGAGAAAAUUUGGCCUGCAGACAAUAAAGGUAGUGUGGAAAUUAAAUCAUUAAGUUCACUUAAGCCAAUAAUUGCAGUUUAUUCAUUCAGUGCCCCAUAUUAGAGAAACUCAGUAAAUGCUGUGCCAUGUUCUUCAUUUAUUUCAUUUGUGCCAAUUUAUGCAUUAAAUCACUGGUGGGUGACACAAGUACACAAGUAAAGUAACAUUGACAACUUAGAGUUCCGUUCCUUUUUUUAGUAUUUAAUUUUUUUGUGAAAAGGUCUCCUUUGUCGCCCAGGAGUGCACUGGUGCGAUCACAGCUCACUGCGAUCUUGACCUCCCCAGGUUGAGGUGAUCCUUCCACCUCAGCCUCCCAAGUAGCUGGCCAUAAGUCACAUGGCACUAUAUCAAGUUUAUUAUUAUUAUUAUUAUUUUUGUAGAGAAGGGAUUUCACCAUUCUGCCCAGGCUGGGUUCACUUUUGAUAGUAAAGGACCUCUCCAAUGUUUAGACAUUUGCUUUCAGUU